ACAGAUUGAACAGAUCCUUUUCCAAAAGAUUUUAAUCCAACAAUAACCGCUCGUUUAUGAUCUUGCAAUGCACCAGCAACAAUUUCUGAAGCACUGGCAGAUCCUUCAUUAAUCAACACAACAAUAGGCUUUCCAUUUGUCAAAUCACCGGUUUUCGCAGAAAAGCGCAUCGUGUUUUCUGGUUUUUUAGAACGUGUAGAAACAAUUUCUCCUUGUGCCAUAAAGGUAUCAGCGACACCAACAGCCUGAUCUAACAAACCACCAGGAUUAUUUC
rnacentral:ncRNA from 1 species